rfam:Chryseolinea serpens strain DSM 24574 genome assembly, contig: Ga0070524_104
UUUGCACCGGCAAAUCGGCACGACCAGCUCCUGCUGAACUCCCCCAGGACCGGAAGGGAGCAAGGGUAGGCGGUUGUAGCGGUGCGAUGUUCGGUUUGCCAUUUU